rnacentral:rRNA from 1 species
UACAGAGGGUGCAAGCGUUAAUCGGAAUCACUGGGCGUAAAGGGUGCGUAGGCGGGUCUUUAAGUCAGGGGUGAAAUCCUGGAGCUCAACUCCAGAACUGCCUUUGAUACUGAAGAUCUUGAGUUCGGGAGAGGUGAGUGGAACUGCGAGUGUAGAGGUGGAAUUCGUAGAUAUUAGGAAGAACACCAGUGGCGAAGGCGGCUCACUGGUCCGGUACUGACGCUGAGGUGCGAAAGCGUGGGGAGCAAACAGG